AAAAAUGAUGACAGCUAGUGUUUAGACUAAGAUGCUCCUAUUUCUAUAGAGAGGUUAAAGGAUCCAGAGAGAAAGUAAUCAGUGACAAAGAUCUAGAGUUACUGCUGGAUAGAAGUGACCUUAUUGACCAAAUGAAAAAGUCUGAAUCAGUUGAAAAAGAAAAAGUGGGAGUGUUCAAGGUUCUAGAAGAUUCUGAAGACUCCAAUACAGAAUGUGUAUUUUGAAGUGUGAUUGGCUUCUAAAAGUGCAGCCCUCACUUCUUGUGACUAACAGCUGAUCUCGUAAGGCCAUCAUUUACAUAUAGUGACACUUGAUUAUGCUGAUUUUUUUUUUUUUCCCCUCAAAGCCCUGGUUCAAAUCCUUUUUUUUUUUUUUUUUUUUUUUUUUUUUCUUUUCAGUGAGUUGUAACAUGUCAGGUAGGAUACUUCAUGAUGUAGCAUACCUAAAAAUUUCAUACUUGUGAACCUCACAUGAACAAUUAAGAAAAUGAACAUGUUUCAGGUGUUUAGGUCGCAUGUGUGAUCCAGUGACAAACACUGCCAGGUUUGUACAAAAUCUUCCUGUGGAAGUCUUGCGAAAACAAUUUUAUUUUUCUCUCCAAUUUGACCUAAUGUGUCAAUUAUGAUUUUAUUGGGAAAGGGAAGACUGUCUAGUACACUUGUUUACAACCAAUCCUGUAACUUCAGUUUUAAAUUUUGCAAAAUAUUUUGCUAAUAAAUUUUGUCCAUUUUGUCAUGUGAA